rnacentral:rRNA from 1 species
UACGUAGGGUGCGAGCGUUGUCCGGAAUUAUUGGGCGUAAAGGGCUCGUAGGCGGUUUGUCGCGUCGGGAGUGAAAUCCACUGGCUUAACUGGUGGCUUGCUUUCGAUACGGGCAGACUGGAGGUAUGCAGGGGAGAACGGAAUUCCUGGUGUAGCGGUGAAAUGCGCAGAUAUCAGGAGGAACACCGGUGGCGAAGGCGGCUAUCUGGACCGGUACUGACGCUGAGGAGCGAAAGCAUGGGGAGCGAACAGG